rnacentral:rRNA from 1 species
UAAAAUGAGCGUACGUCCUAUUAGCUAGUUGGAGAGGUAACGGCUCACCAAGGCUACGAUGGGUAGGGGUUCUUAGUGGAAAGUCCCCCACACUGGCACUGAGAUACGGGCCAGACUCCUACGGGAGGCAGCAGUAGGGAAUAUUGGUCAAUGGGCGCAAGCCUGAACCAGCCAUGCCGCGUGCAGGAUGAAGGCUCUCUGAGUUGUAAACUGCUUUUGUACAGGAGCAAAACAAUCCCUGCGGGGGUUCUUGAGCGUACUGUAAGAAUAAGCACCGGCUAAUUCCGUGCCAGCAGCCGCGGUAAUACGGAAGGUGCAAGCGUUAUCCGGUUUUAUUGGGUUUAAAGGGUGCGUAGGCGGUUUAUUAAGUCAGUUGUGAAAUCCUAGUGCUUAACGCUAGAACUGCGAUUGAUACUAAUAGGCUUGAGUUAAGAAUAGGUA